ensembl:lncRNA
UCUUUUUUUCUACGCCUCGGUUGCUGAAUCGACAGCCUGGCAGGGCCCUAAAAAUAAAAAAAAUAAAAAACCAGCCAGAGACGACCAAGCCCCCCUCCUCGCGAUGAGCCGCUCUCGUGAGAUCGAGCAGCUGAGAGAAGCAGCGGAGAGGAGCGGCGGUGAGGAGCCUCGGUCAGGAGCCUCGGUCAGGGGCCUCGGUGAGGAACCUCGGUCCGGGGCCUCGGUCCGGAGCCUCGGUCAGGAGCCUCGGUGAGGAGCCUCGAUGAGGAGCCUCGGUCAGGGGCCUCGGUCAGGAGCCUCGGUCAGGAGCCUCGAUGAGGAGCCUCGGUCAGGAUGCAGAUUAACACCGGGGUCAGGGAGGAGCUGAUGCACGUUGCUGCAGCACGGAUCAACACAUGCGUGGUCCCGCCAAGCGGAAGCGGAGCCUCCACAGAACUGGGGGGCGGGGGGGCUUAGUUUGCUGCAUUUAAAAAUGUGUAAUUGUUUUUAAUCCGGCAGCACAAGAAUAUCGUUGAUAUAAACAGGUUUAGCAGGAUCAAAUUAAUAUUAAAAGUGAAACCCAAUCGCCUACAGAUGUCAGUGUGAAAGACAUGAUUCCCAAAUUAACCCGAAUAUAGGUUAAUAAGGAGUCAAAAAUCAGAUGAACAAAAAGUGUGUGUGUGUGUGUGUGUGUGUGUGUGUGUGUGUGUGUGUGUGUAUAUCUAGAUCUAUUUGGGGAUCCUCUAAGUGAGCAGUGAGCAUCACGGGUCCUUCUCCAGUCCCUCUUUCAGCACCUUGGACAGCUCCUCUCCUCAGUUGCAUCUGCAUCACAAACCACCAAUCAGCUCCAAGGACAGCCGCCGUCAGUUUGACACCGCUUGACUCAGAGGAGCUCUCUGGCCCUGUUGAUUUAACGGCAAAUAAAUGAAUACUGUCAUUCCCGAAAAAAUUGGGGCCUGAAAAUGCGAUUAGUCUAUGCCGGAUGAUGUGGAGUGGGACUGCAACCCCUGCCAGAUGGUAUAUUUAUAUUAAGGUAGAUAAAACAGUUCUUGUAUGAUUUAUGAAGUUCAAAUUUCAAACCAAUCCACGGAGAGUAUUUUGAGUUUGGCAUUGUCCUUCGUAAGUUUUUACAACCCAUUUCUCUAUUCUUAUGCUAAUGCUUAUGGUGGGUGUAACCUUUUUCCUAGGACUCCUUGAGGGGACAUAUAUAAAAUAAAAAUAUGUGUUCAUAAUCCCAAAUACAUAAUGGGAGCCUGUCCCACACUGUCUCAUAAAUUACUUUGAUGCUGCUGUUACACUUCACAAUUUCCCUCCCUCUCCCUCUCCCUGUCAAUCUCUAUGACGACAUCAACACAUACAUCACUCGGGUGGCAAGACUUUAAAUUAUGUCCCGUGUUGCUUUAGGAGCGCAGAGGCAUAAAGAUGGAUGAAUAAAUAAAUAGAACAAUAGAAUCGGUGCUUGUUCUGCCUUCUUGUUGGCUCUGCGUGUGUGACGUGAAUGACACUGGGUCACAAUUCUAACUUCUGUUGUGUCCGACACAAGGACACUUCCACAUUUCCAAGUUUCUUU